rnacentral:snRNA from 1 species
GCUCACUUCAGCAGCCCUUAAAGUUGGGACAAUACACAGGAGAUUAGCACAGCCCCUGCACAAGGAUGACACAAAAAUUCAUGGAGCGUUCCAUGUUUUU